rnacentral:lncRNA from 1 species
UAAACAUAAUAAACAUACUGCUACUAAUCCAUAAUAAAUAUGCCUGUUUUAACAUCAAAGUCAGUUUACGUAGUUUAUCAGAUAACAGUUAUUUUUUUUCCUUUUUAUUAUCAAUGUACAAAUGCCUAACUUGAGGUAGAUUUUUAUAUGAUGUAAAGAUACAAUCCCGGUGUCAGAAAUAGACGACCCACAUUCACACCCAGUCACACACAAUCACCGUCUUCGGACUCUCCUCAACCCUGCCCUGCUUCUCACCUGAGCGCGUGCGCUUGUACGUACGUAUGUGUACAAACACACACCACACACACACAUACACCACACACCACACACACACACACACACACCACACACACACACACACACACACACACACACCACACAACCUUGAAUCCUGCCCAGUCGCUUCCUCAACCCUAUCAGGACGGGACUGUCAGGUCUCAGUUCACCCUGACCUUCGGCGCUGGGCAAAACGAGGCCUAGACUCACGGACGGACGAAGAGAAACCCGUCAGGCAGGCUUUCGACCCCUUCUGCAUUCUGCGGCAGAGCCAGCACCUCCGGACAUCUCUUCCUGCGCUGCCAGUGAGGUUACCUAGCCCAAGACUAGGCUCCGGCGCAGAGAGAUCACGUGACUCUCCUUCCCGCGGCGCUGGCUGUGUCUGCGGCCGGGGACUACAAGUCCCAGAGGCCCUGAGGCUCGGAGCUGCUUCCGCCGCGAGCCGGUGUUGGUCGUCCUGCGGUCGUUGGACGGUCACUGCGCUGCGGGACGAGGCGCUCCCGUGCGCGCGGGUGGGCGGGCGCGCGCGCUCCGGCUCUGAUUCGCUUGGCGCCGGGGCCCCGCGGUUUUGUUUGGUGCGGAGACUCGGUAAAUGAGAGCAAGCUCAGCUUCCGUCCUGAGAGGACUAGGGAGGCCUGCGCUCUGGACUACAUUUCCCAGAGGCCCCCAGGUCGACAACAGGUACUGCAGGCUUCAGGCUCCUCUUCGAGGCUUGGCGGAAGCGUUGUCUCUGCUGUCAGCUGUUGAACGGCAUUUGGAAUCCAGUGAACUUGGCUAGUUUGUACGCGACCGGAACUAGGGAAAGCCUAGGGUGAGGAGCCUGGCUCGGGUCCAGCGAGCUGAAGAGAGGAGAAAGAGGAGAGAUUAUGAUUGUUACUGUGUCUUUGUGGUGUGUGAUUGGGACUUGUGUGGUGAAGAUUCUGUGUUCCCAGAAUGGGUAUGUGAUUGUGACUGCCUGAGUUGCAUUGUGCAUGGGAAUGUGCUGAGCUGGUGACUCUGUGGUUGGAACUGUGUAAUUUUAUGUCGGUUUCCAACACCAUGUUGGAAGGUCUGAGACUUUGGUGGGGUCCAAGUGGAUGGGGUCAGUAGGUGGAGUCAAGAUGCUAUCCUUUAACAAGUUGGUUACCAGAAGGUGAUUGUAUAAAGCUUAUAAUCUGGAUCUCUAAUAUUCACGAAUUGGAAGGAAGUGGAGAACUAGUCAAGGUGACUUAGCCCUUCUUUUGGGUAAGAGAAAGUUACAUCUAUGUUUAAAAUGAAUGGUGAGGGAACAAAAAAGGAUAAUAAUUCACUACAACAAACUUAAAAAGUAUUGUCUAUCAUGGAUUAAAAAUAUAGAGAAUGCAAGAUUGGAACUUCAUCCAAAGAAGGAGCCAGAAACAAAUAUCUAGCAAUGUGAAUGUUCAAAGUACUUUUAAAAAUAGGAGUGUUUUAUUUUCAUGUUAAAUUGCAGAGAUGUGGUAUUAGACUCUCGAUUACUCUCCUAGACCUUGAGAGGAAUUAUACUAAUAAAAAAUCGUAGGAAAUAGUCUUCAGUAAAUACAGGAAAAAUGUAAAAUAAAAUUAAAACCCUAUGGUAACCUGGGGUUACUUCCUUUCCAGACUCUUCCUAUCUGUAUUUUUUUCACAGACAUCAUAUAUUACUGCAUCUAAUUAAUUGUCAUUUGAAGUUUAGUAUGUUGAAUCCUGCCUAACAAUUCUGGUAUUUGCUGUCAACCUGCUCUAUUUGAUCACUUUAUCUUUCCUCUCUGUAACUACCUAUGGUUUAUUUUCUUGUUUGCAGGAUUUUGAUGAACUAUUCUAAAAUUUCUUACUAAGAGCAAGGCGGGGGGGAAGCUCCAGAGAGUGAGGAGAAAAGUGAUGUGCCUGUGCAUAAGUGAAUAAGGGAAAGUUGGAAAGGGGAACUUGGAGGUGGGAAGUCUUGUGUGUAAGAGCUCAGUUACUCCAUGUCCAGGCCACGGUCAUCUCUCACAUGUUGUUCCAAUAGCCCCCUUACUCAUCCCCCUUGUUCCUUCAUUGCACCACUAAAGUUUCUUCUUAGGGGUUGGGAGUGUGACUCAGUGGUAGAACACUUACCUGGCAUGUGUGAUGUUCUGGGUUCUGUCCCCAGCACUGCAGGGGCUGGGUGGGGGAGUUUCUUAAUACAGCAGCCAGCCUAAUCCUUCCAAAAUAAGUUAGUUUAUGUCACUCCUUAAAACUUUCCAUGGCUUCCCGUCACAAUCAGAAUGAAAACCAAUCUCCACAGUGGUCUGUCUCUGUUACUGCUCUGAUCUCAUUUAGCAUUUUUUCUUAAUUCUGCCUCUCUGCAUUUGAGAUAGCUGGUUCCCUUGCAUGGAAUUUUCUCACUCCUGAUAUCUACAUGACUUAAUCUUUUGUUUCCUUCAAGGCUUUCCUCACAUGUUACUAAACUGGAAAAUCCUUCCCUGUGAACAUCUCAACAAGUGCACAGUUCCUAUCCCCCUUGCCCUAUUUUAUUUUUCUUAAAAGUUCUUAUCCUCAAUUUACCUAUUUAUAUCUGUUUCCUCCAAUCUACACCAAAAUUGAAAUUUUAUUUCAAUGGUAAUCCACUAUGGUCCUUGAUGGAUAGGAAAUUUGGCUAUGUUCAUUUUAUCAGUGGUGUGACAGGCUAGGCCUUGCUAUGUUAACAAUGAGCAAAUAUCAAUAUUUUAAGACAGAAAGUUUUUCAUUCACAUUACAUAUCUGUCACAGAGCUUUGUAUUUGUCUUCCUCUCUAGUUGUGUAGCUAGAUAUUCAAAGCCUUGGAGUCUUUGGUAUGGAUUAGGUGAUCCAUUCUUAAUUUAAUUGUUUGAAAUAAGAAACUGGAGAAGUCAAAGAGAUUUCAUGUCUUGAACUUGGUGCAUGCAUCUGGAUGCCUGUGUAUAGAUUCUGGAUGUGUACAGGCAUUCUAGCUUGAGGUCUUUGUUUUAAAUUUAGGUCAUAGCUGGAGAAAUGCUGUUUUAGGAAACUCUUGGCAUACUUGCAAAGGGAGAACUAUAUGGGGUCAUGUUAUUGUACCCACCUGCAGUUCUGAUUAACAUUUUGAGAUUAGGGUAACAAUCUGCCUGAAUUCCUCCUGCAAAGGUUUCUGGGCCCCUCUCAGCAUUGGAGCUAAUCUACUCAGAUUCCAUUCCAUCUUGCUCUUCUUAAGUUCACACAUACUUAGGGAAGCCUGGGAUUUUUUCCCGUGUGUGAGUGUGUGUGUGUGUGUGUGUGUGUGUUGGAGGAAGGAGAAGUAGGGGUAGACAGCAUAGUAAGGAUAUUGGAAGGAGAGUGUAGAAUUAUUUGGGUAUUUCUGGGAGCUUUUAAAAUUUUCCUCUUUCCCCCACAGUUGCUUUUUGAGGAUGCUGUACUUUUCCAGGAGCGGAAUAUAUAUUUCAAGGAUGAUAUAUCAGUUCACCUGGAGUAUAGCUUUUAACACAUACCUCAGAACCUGAAUUAUGUUUCCCUAGAUUCCGCUCCUGGGGGCCCCUUAUUUGCAUGAACAUUUGUUUUCUUUAUCUAGAAACUUCCUUGCUCAACUUGCCUAUGAAACCAUCCCAGAUCUUCUCAUUCUGUCAGGGAAUGAAUGAUUGUGCCCAGCAGCACGGUCUUGCCCCCUAUUUUCCCACUCUUUGACAGUGUUUCAGUGUGUGCAGUGCUUCAUGAUAGAGCCUAAAUGCAUUCCCUUCAGGAAAACAGUUGAGCCUCCCAGUUUAGCCUUGGGGUUUAAUUAAUUAGUAAUGAUUUAAUGAUUGCUGAUUGGGGUAAGUACUCUCCACAAACAUGUUUAUUUUUCUUAAUUUUUGACUUCCCUUUUUAAGAAAACAUAUGGAGGGUUUUUUUUUUUGUUGUUGUUGUUGUUAUUAUUGUUUUGUUUUGUUGUACCAGGGAUUGAACUCAGGGUUACUCAACCACUAAGCCAGCCCUAUUUAUUUUUUAUUUAGAGACAGGGUUUCACUGAGUUGCUUAGUGCCUAACUUACUGAGGCUGGUUUUGAACUUGAGAUUCUCCUGUCUCAGCUUCCCAAGCAUCUGGGAUUACAGGCAUGCUUGUACUUGGCAUGAAGUGUUUGAUACUAUAAAAGAAUAAUGGAAUGUUUAUGUAUGUAGCACUGAAAUAAUAAGCAUUGGAAAAGUUCCUUUAGUGCCCUGCCAUCCCCCCUAAAAGAAUAUCCUCUACUCAGUGACUCAGGAGGCUGAACCAGGAUUGAGAGUUUAAAGCCAGCCUUAGCAAUUUAGCAAGGCACUAAGCAACUCAGUGAGACCCUGUGUCUAAAUAAAAUACAAAAAAAGGGCUGGGGAUGUGGCUCAGUGGUUGAGUGCCCCGAGUUCAAUCCCUGGUACCAAAAAUAAAUAAAUAAAUAACCUCUAAAGACAGUUUUAUACUCAUCAUUUUAUUGCUUUUGUCUUUAUAUCUUUAAGAGGAUAUUAUUAGGUUUUUAUAUUUUGACCUUUCAAGAAGAUUAUCCAGAUACAUAAGUUUUUGAGCACUGUAGACUCUUAAAGUUGUAAAGGAACUCAGAGCUCUUGUUCAAUCUAAGUAUCCAAAAUAAUGGAAUAGUUAUAUUUUGCAUUCCUAAGAUGAAAUACAGUUUUCAAGAACUUGCUUUGUAAAGAAAACUGCCUAUGAUUUUGUCUAAUAAUGAAGAUCCUUAGUAUUUAGUAUAUAUUUUAAUUAUGCCAACCUCCUCUUAUGUGCAAUAGAAGUGUUGUUUUUAUUUUUGUAGAUUUUUUUGAAAGAUUAUGUCUUCCUUUAAUGGAAAAAAAGGGAAGAAAAGAACACAUAAAUAUUAAAUGUUUGAUAAGUAAUGGUUUGUAUAUUGGAUAUAUCCACUGUAAAAUUCUUUCAGCUUUGCUGUAUGUUUGAAAUUUUUAUAAUAAAAGUGGAAAGUGGGAUGGGGAUGUGGCUCAAGCGGUUGCGUGCCUGCCUGGCAUGCACAGGGCGCUAGGUUCGAUCCUCAGCACCAUAUAAAAAUAAAAAAAUAAAAAAGAUGUUGUGUCCACCGAAAACUAAAAAAAUAAAUAAAAAAUUCUCUCUCUAAAAAAAAAAAAAGUGGAAAGUCAUGGAUGAUUGUUAAAAGAAAAAAAAAAAGUAAUUUGCUGUGGGAAGCCAUUCUCACAUGUGAUUGGGCACCUCCCGGAUUGGGUGUGAGGCGCUCUGGCUAAACUGUGUCGGAGCUUUCCCCACCCUCUCCUGGUGUGAGAGCCUGUCCGUGUGGGAGUGUGACUGACCACUGACCCUGAGGCCAAUCACUGACCCUGACCUUGGAAUGCUGCCCCCCUCGACCUUCAAUGGUUGGAAUUUUCCCCUGAAUUUCUUGUUCCCCAAUAAAAGGCCACUCCCUGGCGUUCUCUCUCUCUCUCUCUCUCUCUCUCUCUCUCUCUCCUGCUAGCCCUGAGUAAGCCUUCCUGCCCUACCAGGUGGUUCGAGGUGUGAGCCAGAGUGGUGAGAGCCGUCUUGGACCUGGUCACAGAAAAAGGUAAUUGAGUCUGUGUGUUUAUUUUGAUCUCACUAGUUAACUUUUAUGCCAUGAACCUCUUUAAUGAAACCAGUGCGCUGAUCACAUGGUGGAAUUUGGUGCCUAACGAGGGGGCAUUCUAGAUUAGUUAGAUUGAGUGGGAGCGCGCUAUAAAGAUAAAGGAAUAGGUGACAAUUUUGAGUCACAAAAGUACCUGGAGAUAUUGAAGGAACGAGAUGUUAAAUUAAUUAAAAUGGGAAAUUCAACUUCUACGGAUAAGGAGAUGUAUCUGACUAUUUUAGACACCAUAAUUAAUCAGAAAGGAAAACAGAUAAAGAAAACUCAGUUAUUACAAUUCUUUUUUUUUUUUUUUUUUAGUUAUUACAAUUCUUAAAGAUUGUAGGCGAGUUUUGCCCUUGGUUUUGUGAACAAGAAUCCCCAAAUUUACUUACUUGGGAGAAACUAGGGAGGAAAUUACAAAAAGUUUGUUUUCUAAUGAAUUACCUGGAGGCAUAGAAAAUAUUCAGAAAACUUGGACAGCUCUGGAAAUUUGUCUUUUUGAAUAUAUGGGACUGAGUUCAUGGCCCCCUGAAGAUCUAUUGAAAGGCAUUCAGAGAGCUAUUAGGUCUAUUCAAAUGGAAAAUCCGCCUGAGGCUGUUAAUUUCCUUUCCCUUUAAAAACAAAGGCUCUAGGGGCUAAACCGAAAGUUAGGAAUGUGACUUUAAACUUGCAUGAUCAGGCUAGCCCGCAGGGAGAUUAUAGAGAAGAAAGUCAUAGAGGAGAAACCUCCGCAGUCCUAGAAAGUCCUCCGGAAGAGAUAGAGGAUCCUCCCGGGGAGGAAAAUCCGGAAGAGAUUCUUAGAGAGGCACAGAGUCCUUCUCUACCACGUGGCUUAGAAGCCCAAUUUCAAAAUGGCGACAGCGGAGAUUCUACCCACGAGUCGCAGUCUGAGGGAGAAGAAUCAGACACUGAAAUUCAGGACUUACAGAGAAAUUUUAACAGGCUGCAUUUAACACCACCUGCCCAGGCUAUUAGAAUUCGGCCAUUACCUGCUAAAAGGACAAAAUUUAACAGGUACUCUAAAUUAACAAUGACUCUUCUUACCCCGUUCCAGCGAGGUAUUAAGAAGGCACAAGAAGCGGGGGAAGAUAUUAGCGGUUUUCAACUUUUCCCAGUUUUUGAACAGAUUAAUGAGCAAGAUCAGAGAGUUAGAGUUCAUGCUGUAAUUCCAUUUAAAACCAUUAAGGAAUUGAAAAGUGCAUGCGAGAUGUAUGGUCCGAGUACGCCUUUUGUACAGAACCUAAUCGAUAAUAUCUCCCCGCAGCCUCUCCCACCUAGUGAUUGGAUUUCAUUAGCCAGAUCUUGUUUGAGUGGAGGGGAUUUCUUACUUUGGCAUUCUUAUUGGACUGAUUUUUGUACUGAACAGGCAGAAAAAAAUAGAAAACAGAAUUUACAGACCCCAGUAGAAAUGUUUUUAGGAAUGGGUGAAUUUGCUGAUUUGGAAAGACAGUUAAAUUAUUAAUUUGUAAUAUAUGAUCAAAUAACUAAUUGUGCUAAACGUGCCUGGAAGCAAAUAGUCUCCAAAGACCAGUCCAAUUUAGUUCUUACCAGAGUCAGGCAGGGUGCGAGUGAGCUGUACUCAGAUUUCGUAGCCCGAUUGUAUCAGACAGCAAAUAGGUCUAUCUGGGACCCUGGGGCGUGCGAGUUUAUUGUUAAGCAGUUGGCAUUUGAAAAUGCAAAUAAAUAUUGUCAGGACAUUCUUAGUCCGCACCGUAAAAAAGGAACAGUUUCUGAGUUUAUCCACUUGUGUUCUGAGAUAGACUCUACCCAUUUGCAGACAGUAACUCUAGCCACGGCACUAAAAGAAACUCUAAAGCCGCAGGAAUUAGUACGGGAGAUGCUAUCUUUGCAGGAGAAAUAACCAUUAUGUGCGCGAAUGUCGCAUGCGUAAUUUUAAGUUCAGGGCUCCAUCUACUGGUGAUAAUAGAUAUUGCAGGACUCAACCCCACGUGGCGGAUCAAGAUGGUGGGGAAUUCCAGGAGAGGUCGCACAGUGUGACAUCACUGGCGCCCACCAGGACGGCCCACAAUUUUUAACGGUACGUAGAUCACAGACAGUUUCCUUAGGACCCUCAACGACAAUUGAAUUGAAUCCUGAAUCAGGGCCAAAACAAAUCCCUACUGGGAUUUUCGGGCUGCUUCCUGAUAAUACUAUAGGUUUAAUUUUGGGACAUUAUAAUUUAAAAGGAGCCAUUGAGGUAAUACCUGGUGUGAUAGAUUCAAAUUUUAAAGGACAAUUAAAUGUUACUGUAAGGUCCAAUUAUGCCCUAAGGCUCACUCCAAAGGAUACAUUUGCCCAAUUGAUUUUAUUGCCCUGUGAUUCGGAUAGACACCCGCGAGUAAAUUCAGUUUCUAAACCGCCGGACAGAGUGUACUGGUUGCAAUUGGUGCGACAAGAAUGCCCUUUAUUAGAACUUAAAAUUAAUCAUAAAAGGUUCCAGGGCAUUCUCGACACAGGGGCUGACAUUUUGGUCUUUUCUAGUAAAUUCUGGCCUAGGAAUUGGCCCUUACUUGUAGCACCAGCUAACCCAGAGGGAAUUGGACAAAUUUCACAGCCUGCUCAAAGUGCAAAUUAUCUCCAUUGGGAAGAUUCUGAUGGGAACAGUGGAGUUUUUAAACCUUAUAUGUUAGAGUCUUUACCAGCAAACCUAUGGGGAAGGGAUAUUUUAGCCAAAAUGGGAUUGUUAUUAGUUACUCCAAAUUCUAUAAGGUCAGUUGAGGAAGUUAAUCAGAGAUAUUUUCCUGGAGAUGAUAAGGAGACCCUUCAGGGAGAGUAUCUGUUUACAAACCAGUCUCCACGACAAAGAUUAGUAAAUGCUCCAAGCCAAAAUUUUUACUAGGGGCCCUGAGUAUUUCCCCGAUCCCUAAGACAGCUGAAAAAAUCACCUGGCUCACAGAGGAGCCUCUAUGGAUUUCUCAGUGGCCCAUCUCAGGGGAAAAACUUAAAAUAAUUCAUAGGUUAGUUGAGGAACAACUUCAGGCUGGUCAUAUAGAACCAACACUCAGUCCUUGGAACACACCUAUUUUUGUUAUUAAGAAAAAGUCCGGAAAUUGGAGAUUGCUACAGGAAUUAAGGGCGAUAAAUCAUGCAAUUCAGCCUAUGGGAUCAUUUCAGCCAGGACUUCCUUCCCCCACAGCCAUCCCUUUAAACUAUAGCUUGAUGGUAAUAGAUUUAAAAGAUUGUUUUUUCUCUAUAAGGUUACAUCCUGGAGAUUGUGAGAGAUUUGCCUUCACUGUCCCAGCAAUUAAUUUUAAGGAACCUGUUAAAAGAUAUUGCUGGAAAGUACUCCCCCAGGGAAUGCAUAAUAUUCCUACCUUAUGCCAAAAAUAUGUUGAUCAGGUGAUAGAUCCCAUAAGAAAUAGCUUUCCGGAUGUGUAUAUUAUUCAUUUUAUGGAUGAUAUAUUAUUGGCUCAUGCUAAUCCAGAGGUACUUUCAGAAAUUUUUACUCAGAGGCUUCACUUACAGCAAUGGGUUUAUGCAUUACUCCUCAAAAAAUUCAAAAGAUGCCUCCUUUUCAAUAUCUAGGUCAGAUAAUUCAAGGACAUAAAUCCGUCCUCAAAAUCUUCAGAUAAGAGUUAAGGAGUUACAUACCCUUAAUGAUUUUCAAAAGCUAUUAGGAGCUAUUAAUUGGCUGAGACCAUCCUUAAAACUAACUACUUCUGAGUUAAGUCCUUUAUUUCAGAUUUUACAAGGAAAUCCUUCUCUAACCUCUCCACGUCAGCUAACCUUAGAGGCUAGAACAGCUUUAAAAAAGGUUGAAAAUGCAAUUAAAAAUUCACAGCUUACUAGAGUUGAUCCUAAAGAAAUAGUGUAUUUAUUAAUAUUUCCAACUGAGCAUACCCCAACAGGAGCCAUAUGGCAAAGAUUAGGAGUUAUUGAGUGGAUUUAUUUAUCCCACUCCCCUCAAAAAACAUUAAUUCCUUUCCAUGACUCUAUAGCUCAAUUAGUAAUUAAAGGCAGAACUAGGAUUUUACAAUUAAUUGGAUCUGAGCCUGAUAUCAUAAUUAUUCCAUUUUCUGUUCAACAGACUAAUUGGCUUUUUCAAACUUCUAGCUUAUGGCAGAUAGCUUUUGCUGAUUUUCCUGGCUAGAUAGAUAGCCAUUACCCUCGUGAUAAGAUUAUCCAAUUUGCAUCAUUAAUGUCACUUAUUUUUCCAAAGAUUGUGCGUGCACAUCCUAUGGAUGAAGCUUUAUCGGUGUUCACUGAUGGUUCAAGCUCAGGUAAAGCAGGUUUUUAUAGUCGUGUUCACACAGAGGUAAUGCAAACUUCAUAUACUUCUGCCCAAAGAGCAGAGCUUCAAGCUCUGAUUUGUGCCUUAAAUUGUUUUUCAAAUGAGCCUAUUAAUAUUUAUUCCAACAGCUUAUAUGCAGUCGGAGUUACCAAAAAUAUUGAAACUUCAGUUAUUGGGUAUACUUCAUCACAAGAGUUAUUUGAAUUAUUUCAUAAUUUACAGAAGGCAGUGCUAAUGCGAAAAUACCCAUGUUUCAUAGGACACAUACGAGCUCAUACUAAUCUUCCUGGACCUUUAGUUUCAGGUAAUGACAAAAUUGAUAAAUUAGUAGCUUUUUGUCAACAGAUGUCUUCAUAUGACUGUGUACAAGCUUCCCAUUCCUUGCAUCAUCAAAAUGCUUCUAGCUUACAUAAAAAAUUUAAUAUUACCAGAGAACAAGCUCAUCAAAUUGUAAGCCAAUGCCCUAAGUGUGUUAUUCACACUCCAUCUCCACCAUCAGGGGUAAAUCCCCGUGGAUUAAAACCAAAUCAAAUAUGGCAAAUGGAUAUAACUCAUAUUCCUCAAUUUGGUAAGCAAUGUUAUGUACAUGUCAUAGUGGACACAUAUUCCAGAUUUAUUUUUGCCACAGCACGUACUAAGGAAAAUACUCAACAUGUAAUUUCUCAUUGCCUAGCAGCUUUUUCUGUGUUAGGGUGCCCUAUGCAGAUUAAAACAGAUAAUGCUCCAGUUUAUGUAAGCUCUUCUUUUCAACAAUUUUGCCAAGAGUUUCAAAUUAAUCAUAAAACAGGAAUUCCUUAUAACCCCUAAGGUCAAGCCAUUGUGGAACAAGCUCAUUUAUCUAUUAAGCUUCAAUUACAAAAAUUAAAAGGGGGGGGAAUAGGGUUAUGACUCCCCAAAAUAGCCUCAAUCAUGGUUUGUUCAUUUUAAAUUUUUUAAACUGACGCAGAAGGUCACACUGCAGCUGAGAGGCAAAUGUCUCCCUCAGUAACAGGCCCUUUAGGCAGAGUUUUGUGGAAAGAUUUACAGACUGGUCAAUGGAAAGGCCCAGACCCAGUGAUUAUGUGGGGCAGAGGUCAUGCUUGUAUUUUUCCAGAAGGUGCUUUUCAUCCUAUCUGGGUGCCUGAACGUGCAAUUAGACAUGGAAGAGAUAGAACCGAGAUUCAAGCGACUGAAGAUCGACCCAGAGGAGCCCCCAUCCAAAAGGAAGAGAUAUCGGAAAAAGAUGAAGAAAAACCAAAUUGACCCAGCUGAAAAGCUGAUUUCAUGGGGAGAGGUGAAGAAGCUAACAACACAGGCUUCCCGAAUACUUCGACUCCUAGGAAAGAACAGGACUCCAGUCUUGAUGGUAGCGACAGUAAUUGCCCUGCUGGGCUGUCAGGAUGGCGAGUCUUCAGAACAAGAAUGCAGAAACUCAAAAGAGUGAACCACCGCCUCAUUUUUAAGAGAAAAAAGGGGGAAUAUGUGGGAAGCCAUUCUCGCACGUGAUUGGGCACCUCCCGGAUUGGGUGUGAGGCGCUCUGGCUAAACUGUGUUGGAGCUUUCCCCACCCUCUCCUGGUGCGGGAGCCUGUCCGUGUGGGGGUGUGACUGACCACUGACCCUGAGGCCAAUCACUGACCUUGACCUUGGAAUGCUGCUCCCCUCGACCUUCAUUGGAUGGAAUUUUCCCCUGAAUUUCUUGUUCCCCAAUAAAAGGCCACUCCCUGGCGUGCUCUCUCUCUCUCUCCUGCUAGCCCUGAGUAAGCCUUGCUGCCCUACCGGGUGGUUCGAGGUGUGAGCCAGAGAGGUGAGAGCCGUCUUGGACCUGGUCAUAGAAAAAGGUAAUUGAGUCUUUGCGUUUAUUUUGAUCUCGCUAGUUAACUUUUAUGCCAUGAACCUCUUUAAUGAAACUAGUGCGCUGGUCGCAUGGUGGAAAUUUGCCAUACUAGAACUUGC